CUCGGGGCGCAGACGGUCGAUCCUUUCCGUCGCUUCGGCGGCGGACGGGGUAGGAAAGUCCGGGCUCCAGAGGGCGGGGUGGUUCCCAGCGGGAACACGGGCCGCGAGGCCCGAUGGAAAGUGGCACAGAGACUCAGUCUGCCGAUGGCCUGCGGGUGACCGCGGGAUCAGGCGAGGGUGAAAAGGUGCGGUAAGAGCGCACCGGACCGCGCGAGAGCGCGGUCGCAUGCAAAACCCCACCCGGAGAAAGACCGAAUAGAUGCGCGGUGUCCUUCGGGACGAGGCCGGCCCGGCCGAAGUGGGCCUUGCGGCUCAAUCGCGCAAGGGUAGGUCGUUGGAGCCGUCCGGCGACGGGCGGCCGAGAUUGAUGACCGUCGCCCUCGCAAGAGGGGACAGAACCCGGCUUACGCGCCCCGAGCGCA
rnacentral:RNase_P_RNA from 1 species